rnacentral:rRNA from 1 species
UACGUAGGGGGCAAGCGUUGUACGGAUUUAUUGGGCGUAAAGAGCUCGUAGGUGGUUCGGUAAGUCGGGUGUGAAAUUUCGGAGCUUAACUCCGAAACUGCAUUCGAUACUGGCGUGCUUGAGGACUGGAGAGGAGACUGGAAUUCAUGGUGUAGCAGUGAAAUGCGUAGAGAUCAUGAGGAAGACCAGUGGCGAAGGCGGGUCUCGUGGACAGUUCCUGACACUGAGACACGAAGGCCAGGGGAGCAAACGGG